CACACACGGAUACCCGCGGACACACCCCCGCGGGGAGGAGAGCGGGGAGGGCGGUCACCAAUACACACAGCACGGGGGGCAACCACGAUCAGAAGUGAUAUGUCAGAGACUCUGGACGAGACCAUUCCACUCAUUAAAGUCAAGGUGCUGGAGAGGAACCACAUCUGUGCCAAAGUUGAUAAACUGGAGACAUCCUCUGCCAGCAGCCUGCCCCUGUGACCUGCCAGAACUCCACUGAACUGAAGACUUUUUUCCUGUGGACUAUCCAGCAGCUGCCUGCAACACAGUGGGAGGAAGGAACACAACCAAGUUUUCUUAGAAAGGACUCAGCUUUUCCAAGACUCCCUGCCUGGAGCUACUGGGAUACAGAUCAAGCCACUGACAGCUCUAAGUGGUCGUUAACAAACUCUCACCUGAUUUACUGAAGUCAUUCUCCAUGAAAUAGUUUGGAAAACCUGCUCACAAAACAAGUUGAGGUUCAAGUUUUCUUUUAAAGCAGAGAAACACAAGGAGCUCUUUUGCUGAUGUAAAUGCCAAAGUGUUUUUCCUGUAUUGUUCUUGAAACAUCUUCUACCCCUGGAGUUCAGAACUGGGAGCCGGCCAGUCCAACUUCCACUCCUCUGAGGUAAAAAAGCACAACAAGAGUUGUGUCCCUUCUGUGAGGGGGGAAAGAACAGGACACAUCUAAAUCAUUUCCACUCCCAGGUACCUGUUUUCAGUCAUCACACACAGAGUUAGUCCAACAAAUCCCAGAAAUGCUCAUUGUAGUGUCAGCAGCACAUGGAGCAGAGUCUCAGCUUUGGCUCCCAGGGCCAAGUACAGUUAAACCCACCUGACUGCUCCAGAUCUCUGGGAAAUGGUUUUGCUGCUUAAAGUGUUGGAAAACACAGAAUUAUUCCCUCCUUUACAACACCAGUGAGAACUGCACAGGUCAGUUUAGUUCUUGUAAAGUAUCCAACAGUAGGAACUGGGAUUUAUGAGUCCCACUCAUUGCUCUGAUGAAGAACAGUUUUGUUGUCAUCACAAUUAGACUGCCCUCAGUAAACCCUCAGCUUGCCUUGCUCAGCUGUCUGUUCCCUGCACAUGCCCACAGUGCAGGACUGGCUUGGCCAAACCAAUCCCAACUUUGAAUAACCUGAUUUUUAGUUUUCCUGCUAUCCAAAUUACUUUUCCUUCCAAGCCAAGCCCAGCCUGUGCUCCUCCCUGUGGGAGUGGUCAGUCUUCCAGCAGCACUGCUCUGCUGUCCCUCAGGCCACAGUGCUCCAGACACAGCUCUGGGGAGGGUUUUUAGAGGUGAAAGCAAUUUCCAUUCACUGAGUACAAAGGGAUGGAAAAGGCAAGGAAUUCACAAUUUCCCUAGGAUGGAGAACAAGCAAACCACUACAGUUCUAUUUAUAACUCUGUGUUCUACAACACUGAACAGGAACAACAAAUUUCAGCCCAAGUUGGCUGUGCAGAUUUUCAAUAUCCUUGAAGGACAUCACUCUAUUCAGUAAGUACUAAACAGGCCCCAGCAGGGCUGUGGAGCACUUGGAAAAACAAAAGAGAAAAAAAAAAGGAAUGAACACAGCAAGG